rnacentral:rRNA from 1 species
GGAUCCAGACUCUGAUUAUGGCUCAGGAUGAACGCUAGCUACAGGCCUAACACAUGCAAGUCGAGGGGAAACGGCAGCUUAGCUUGCUAAGCUGGACGUCGACCGGCGCACGGGUGAGUAACGCGUAUCCAACCUGCCCCACGGUGAGGGAUAACCCGCGGAAACGCGGCCUAAUACCUCAUGGUCUCCGAGUUUGCCAUCAACCUUGGAGUAAAGAUUCAUUGCCGUGGGAUGGGGAUGCGUCUGAUUAGCUUGUUGGCGGGGCAACGGCCCACCAAGGCAACGAUCAGUAGGGGUUCUGAGAGGAAAGCCCCCCACAUUGGAACUGAGACACGGUCCAAACUCCUACGGGAGGCAGCAGUGAGGAAUAUUGGUCAAUGGGCGAGAGCCUGAACCAGCCAAGUAGCGUGCAGGAAGACGGCCCUAUGGGUUGUAAACUGCUUUUAUGCGGGGAUAAAGCGGGCGACGUGUCGCCCUUUGCAGGUACCGCAUGAAUAAGGACCGGCUAAUUCCGUGCCAGCAGCCGCGGUAAUACGGAAGGUCCGGGCGUUAUCCGGAUUUAUUGGGUUUAAAGGGAGCGCAGGCCGGGUAUUAAGCGUGUUGUGAAAUGUAGGCGCCCAACGUCUGCACCGCAGCGCGAACUGGUGCCCUUGAGUACGCACGACGUUGGCGGAAUUCGCCGCGUAGCGGUGAAAUGCUUAGAUAUGGCGAAGAACUCCGAUUGCG